rnacentral:misc_RNA from 1 species
GGACUACUAGGGUUUCUAAUCCUGUUUGAUCCCCACGCUUUCGUGCCUCAGCGUCAAAUAAGGUCCAGUAAGCUGCCUUCGCAAUCGGUGUUCUAUGACAUAUCCAUGCAUUUCACCGCUACAUGUCACAUUCCGCCUACCUCAACCUAUUUCAAGCCCAACAGUAUCAAAGGCAAUUCCAUCGUUAAGCGACGGGCUUUCACCUCUGACUUAUCGGGCCACCUGCGCACCCUUUAAACCCAGUGAUUCCGGAUAACGCUUGCACCCUCCGUAUUACCGCGGCUGCUGGCACU